UCAAAGGAACGGCCGGGUGAUGUGAAUUAAGACAGAUUAUUGGUCAAUAAUUCAGAAGAUGCAGUAGAUGAACUGGACCCACCAGACCACCUGAUGCUGAAGUGAAGAUCUGGGAUGUUGCCUGAAGAUGCGGUGAGGGAAAUGCUGGCCGAUGUGUGCAAACGGUCCAGAGCAGGAACAUCACACACACUCCAGCCCCAGGUGACAUCUGCUGGAAUAUUUACAGAGAGAGGCGACGUUCAGAAUGAAAUACUACUUCCUGCACAGUAAGCACUUGAAAAGUUUCUCUUCUGACUGACAUGGAAAAGUGGGAUAGAUCUCGGAGAAGCGUUGACGUUCCCAUCCAGAAGAAUUCCAGCACCCCCUAAUGUCACAAUGGAGUUACUGAAGUGCUCAACUCUCAACAGCACAACCGUUUAAAAGCAAAAACAGCCAAGAGUUACUUGCAUUUCCAAACUCUGGUGGAAGCUGAGAGGAACAAUGUUACAGUAAUUGUCAAUAGUGCCGCCAAAAGUUUUAAAGUUGAAAUGGAGCAGUGAGUAAUUUGGCUAAAUCGGUUUCAUUUAUGUGGGAGUACACAAAGCUAGAAAUGUACCCUCGAGGUGCAAUAAGUCAUUUCCAUGUUUUAAGUUUGUUUUAAGUGCUCACACUGAGAGAGGAAUGAUGUGUUAUGGCCCCGAGGUAAAGAGACAAACUUCCUGCACAUGUUCUCUGAGGAGACGAGAACUUCCUGAGGUUAAAGGUCAACACUGGCUGUGUUUGGAAUGAAACACUUGCUUACUAAUGACUGAAUUCUGCUUACUAUAUGAAAAGCAUCGGUAUUUAAAAAGUAGUGUGCAUAACUGUCAUGUUUUUAAUACAAUUCUAUGCAGUCCAGUCAAUAAUAAUAAGACAAAAUUGCUGAUAUAUUAAUGCACAAAUAGUAAUGUAGCAGUAUGCUUUCUAAACAUAACCAGGAUGAACGAUACAAUGAACAUUAGUCCUCUACUUCAGCAGCAUCUUUGGGGCAUUUGUUAGUCAUUGUUACAUUUGGCAUAUUUAGUCUUUCUUUCUGUCCUAAUUUGGCUUUGAACGUGUUUGGCAUAUUCUCUGUUUAACUAACAGCUUGAGGGACUCGAUUUGGAGAAGUGUAAUAUAAUUAUGAGCUUAUUAAUAUGUGUGUUUGCGGGUGUUGUGAGAAAUCUGGUAGACAUUGUCAUUUGCUCUGCUGCCUUUCUGCCUUUGCUCAGGUGUUGAAGAGAUAUGCAGAGUGAUCUUUGAUGUUAGAUACGAUGGGUGUUAACUAGUCUUGUUCAAU